UACGUAGGGGGCAAGCGUUGUCCGGAUUUAUUGGGCGUAAAGAGCUCGUAGGCGGUUCCGUAAGUCGUGAAGUCAAAUCUCUGGGCUCAACCCAGAAUCGCUUCCGAUACUGCGGUGACUGGAGUCCGGUAGGGGAGUGUGGAAUUCCUGGUGUAGCGGUGAAAUGCGCAGAUAUCAGGAGGAACACCGGUGGCGAAGGCGGUUCUCUGGGCAUUACCUGACGCUGAGGAGCGAAAGUGUGGGGAGCGAACAGG
rnacentral:rRNA from 1 species